rnacentral:rRNA from 1 species
CCUACGGGUGGCAGCAGUGAGGAAUAUUGGUCAAUGGACGAGAGUCUGAACCAGCCAAGUAGCGUGAAGGAUGACUGCCCUAUGGGUUGUAAACUUCUUUUAUAUGGGAAUAAAAUGUUCCACGUGUGGGAUUUUGUAUGUACCAUAUGAAUAAGGAUCGGCUAACUCCGUGCCAGCAGCCGCGGUAAUACGGAGGCUCCGAGCGUUAUCCGGAUUUAUUGGGUUUAAAGGGAGCGUAGGUGGAUUGUUAAGUCAGUUGUGAAAGUUUGCGGCUUAACCGUAAAAUUGCAGUUGAAACUGGCAGUCUGGAGUACAGUAGAGGUGGGCGGAAUUCGUGGUGUAGCGGUGAAAUGCUUAGAGAUCACGAAGAACUCCGAUUGCGAAGGCAGCUCACUGGACUGCAACUGACACUGAGGCUCGAAAGUGUGGGUAUCAAACAGGAUUAGAUACCCGGGUAGUC